rnacentral:rRNA from 1 species
UACAGAGAUCUCGAGCGUUGUUCGGAUUCAUUGGGGCGUAAAGGGUGCGUAGGUGGCGCUGUAAGUCGGGUGUGAAAUCCUGAGGCUUAACCUCGGAACUGCAUUCGAUACUGCGGCGCUUGAGGACUGGAGAGGAGACUGGAAUUCAUGGUGUAGCAGUGAAAUGCGUAGAGAUCAUGAGGAAGACCAGUGGCGAAGGCGGGUCUCUGGACAGUUCCUGACACUGAGGCACGAAGGCCAGGGGAGCAAAACGGG